CUUAUAGGUCGACUUAUGUCAUUUUUCAGGGGUGACUAAGGGGUAAAAUACUAACUUUUAAAAGUAUUCAUAAUGGUUCUGUAGGAAUUUCUGACAUCAAUAUUCCUUCUGUUUUACUUUAGCUUUGGAGAAUAGGUUGUAUGCAUCAGUGGGGAAGAUGAUUGCUGUGUGUGUCGUCCAUGGAGAAGUUGGCCCACAUUUCUUCUCCGAAAGGCUUUCUCAGCAGAUCUGUGGUAUGCCAACAUCCUCUGCCUCAGUGGAUGAGGUUGGAGAUCAUACAUUGAGGAAGCAACUAAUCAAGGUAUAGAGAUGUUUUGAGAAUUUAAAUAAUUGUUUAAAGGUGUUAUAUGAUGCUAUUAUGAUUAUGACAUUAUUUUUCAUAUGUAGUGCAUUAUUGUAGCUCCUCUAUGCCCAGCCUCUCUCAAAUGUGGUGUUUUCUAUAAAGCCCCUCCUUCCACCUGCUCUGAUUGGUCAGCUGACCCAGUGCAUUGUGAUUGGCCAAACACCACAAGUGUGUGUCAGAAAUGUAAUGCUCCUUACCAUAAUUGUGAGCUACAGCUUUCAAAGUACAUAUAAAAACAGUUAAUGAGUGCAUAUUGCUCAGCUCUGCUUGAGCAGGCAUCAGUGUCAAACAGAACACAGGGCAUCUAGUGCUGCUUUUCCACCAUCAGGCCGAACGAUUCUCUUUGCUUAACAGUUUUAUUCUGUGCCGAUAGAGAUGGUUUUUCCUCACAAUUGUAAAAUUGCUUUUUUCGCAACUGUUUUAGAUACAGGAAGCAACAGCUGUUCAGGAGGCAUAUUGUGCCAUUACAGAAGCAGCAGACAGCUUAAAUAUCAUUGGUGCCUUGAAAUAUAUAUCACACCUGACAGAAAGGAACUCUCUUGUCCAGUCAGCGGCAGAGUUCUUUGUAAAUGGAAGACUGCGAGCUGCCUUGGACCAGUCGGUGUUUAUUGGCUGCUUCGACUGCCAAUCAUUUCUGAUGUCAUGAUGUCCUGCCCAUUUGCUGAUGCGCCAGCUGUAUUUAAGGGCUUGAUUUGACCGUGUGUGGCGUGCGCCAGGUCAGCGUACCUCGUGCUCCAACGCGGCCAGUUGUUUCGGGCUAUUGCCAUUUGUUUCUCC
ensembl:lncRNA